UCAAUAGAAUCCUUAGAUCUCUCAUUUUUCUUCAUUCGCUCUAGUUUUUUAUCUAUUCAUUUUGUUUUCAAUUAUUUGUUUCAUGGUUCUCUUUUUACCUUUUCUUCGUUGUUGUACUUGUUAUUGUUCGUGAUGUAUACACAUUAAAUAGGAUUUGAUCUCCAUUUUUUCAAAUUAUUUAUUUGUCUAAUACAUACUUUCCCCUUUAACAUGAUCCUCCAUUGAUUCACAUUUUCAGAGGUUUUACACUUCCAAUUUUUGCAAUUUUGUUUUAUUUGUUUUAAGCUAUUAGAUCUAAGUGCUGUUGGUUCCUUUUAUUUAUUGACUUAUAAUUUUAACAUCUAGUUUUUAAGGUUUGACAGUAAUGUCCACUUUUUGUUUUUAUUUGUUGAUUUGGGACUUGUCUGCGGAUUGUUUUUAAAGUUUUAGUGAAUGAUGAUAAUUGCACUGGGCUCUGAGCAGUUUUCUACUGCAUUUUGAUGCAUAUGUGUGGCCUAGAAAACCAUGUCUGACCU